UCACCUUGCUCUCAGGCAGGAGCAAUGAAUGUGUGUGGUGCUACGGUUCCAAAAGCCAUUUAGGAGGAGUUUCCCUUUGAUUGUAUCAAUACCAGUGACAGCACAGAGAAAUGAAGAGGCAGCAGAGCACUGCUCCCCCAGGUUGGACCAGAUUUCCAUGUGCAUCGAUUUUCUUUAGCACCUGAACAGAAGAUGAUGUUGCCUCUUCAGUGGGAGAAUGACUCCCAGGCCAACGACGGUUGCAUGAGCUUGAAACUUAUUGCAUGAGCUUGGAACUUUAGGUGGUCUGACCACUGCAGGGCUGAAACCCCACAUGCUUGGCUCUUGUCUGACCAUUUGAGACACAUGGAACAGGCUGUGCACUGUGACAGCCCAUCUCUGUGGGCCACAGAGGUUUUCUUGGAGACUGGGAACUUCCAGAUCCAGCAGAACCUGCAGCAAGCUCUGUCACCUGGGCCUGGGACAUGCACAAGCCAAGGUGUCUCUGUGCCACCAACUUACCGUGGAGUCUGCCCCAUCCAGCACAUUCUGUAUCAGUCUUUUGAGCUCACUGAGAGCUGCCCGAAGGCUCCCGGCUGGGACGUCUUUGGCUGAUGAGGUUUCUGAAGACUCGUCCAUGGAGGAGUCUGUGGAGACGGCGGAGUCGGCGCUGUCGUUCCCUCUGAGGUGGGAGCAGAGAUACCGCACUUGGCAAUAGGCCUCCCAGAGCUGCAGCCUCAGCUGAAACAAGAGACAAGAGGCUGGGACACCAAGGCCAUGGAAAUCCUCCUUCUGUGCUGCCGGUAGGACAGACGCACCUCCUGGAGCUCCAUCUGGCUUUGGUGCAGCUUGUGAAGAAAAUAAAGGAUGAGCACUCGGUCCUGCAGCUCCUCCACGGUUCCCUGGAGCAGGUCGUUCUCCUCCAUCAUGGCACUAAGGCGAUGCUCCAGCUCCCGCUUCCUGUCCGUCAGCAUUUUGAUCUGCAGAGGAAAGAGAGGCAGUGUCGGAACCCCACACUUUGCAGGAAGCAGAGAGGAGGGAAAUCACAUUCCGGAGAGAGAAAUGAAACAGC